rnacentral:lncRNA from 1 species
GUACGGUAUUGUAUCUCACGUUAUGUGAUACUAACACUCACCAACGUCAUCAAUAUUCCCACACUGGCUAAGGAACUCUUAGGAAUUACCAAAAUGGCACAACACAAAAGUAUUUUUUAAAAUGUACAGGCAAAUUUGUAGAUCAUUAUUAAAAUCCUACAACCAGGACACUAAGCUACUUAUUCACAGUAUCAAAGAAAACAAUCCAUUUUCCAACCUGUAGGAUAUCUAGCCUUUAUGCAUGAGGCCAGUCUAUUAUUUUCCUUCUAAGCAUCUAUCUUCCAAGGACAGUUGUGCGGUAUUCCAGAUAAAUAUUUUUGCUGUUUGUAUUUAUCCACCGUUUCUACAUGAUUUUGUCUUUCACUUAUCCCUUUACCCAAGACCUCUCCACAUCAUAUCCACAUCUACACUGUUUAUUUUUUAUUCAGUUAUAACAUGCAUGCAACAAAGGGCACAAAUCUUAAGUGCACCUCUCCACAAAUUUUACAUAUGUAUACACUCAUGUAACUAUCAUUCAGAUCAAGAUAUAUUUCAAGAAAUGUACAUACGAUUGUUCCCCUUCANACACAUAUGCACACACACACCCACACACUCCCUCCAUCCUUGGGAUCACAUUAAAACUGUGGUAUAAGCAGACAGAAAACAGGUCAACCACAAUAUGAUCAACUGCUAAAACAAUGCUUUUUAGUUGACUGCAGAAAAAAUAAGUAUUCAAAGUAUCACUUAAAUUUGAUGCAGAGAGCCUGUUACUACAUUUCUAAGUCUUGAAUCAUUAACCUUUAUUAAAUUAUGCUGCCUUGCCACUAAAUCUGAACCAGUUAUUUUCUUAAGAAAAAAAAGUAGUUACAAAUUUCAGAGUGGAAGAAAAUAUUUGCAGAUCACAUAUCCAAGAAAGUACUUGUCUCCAAAAUAUGUACUAAAAGUUGUCAAAACCAAACACUAAAACAAACAACCCAGUUUUUUUUAAAUGAGAAAAAGACUUUAACAGACAACUCACCAAAGAAGAUACAUAGAUGGCAAAUAAGAACAUGAAGAGAGGCUCACUAUUAGUCAUUCAGGAAAUGCAAAUUAAAGCCACCAGGAGAUAUUACUGUAUACUAGGAAAGUGGCUAAAAUUUUCAAAAAGUAAAACUAACUGAUAACACAAAAGCUGGUGAGGAUAUGGAGCGGUAAGGAUGCAAAGUGAUGGCCAGUUUGAAACAGUUUCACAGUUUCUUAUAAAGCUAAACACACAUCUGCCAUAUAACCCCCUUUAUAUGGUGACCAAAGCCAUCCCAAAGAAAAAGAAACAAAAGAACACAACGUGGUUGUCUGAGGAGGCUUUACAAAUAGCUGAGGAAAACAGAGAAGUGAAAGGCAAAGGAGAAAAGGCAAGAUAUACCCAAUCGAAAGCAGAGUUUCAGAGAGUAUCGAGCAGAGGUAAGCAGACCUUCUUAAAUGAACAAUGCAAAGUAGAGGAAAGCAAUAGAAAAGACUAGAGAUCUCUUCAACAAAACUGGAGAUAUCAAGGGAAUAUUUCAUGCAAGGAUGAGCACAAUAAAGGAUAGAAAUGAUAAGGACCUAACAGAAGCAGAAGAGAUUAAGUGGCAAGAAUACACAGAACUAUACAAAAAAGUCUUAAUGACCCAGACAAUCACAAUAGUGUUGUCACUUGCCUAGACCUGAACAUCUUGGAGUGUGAAGUCAAGUGGGCUUUCAGAAGCAUUACUAACUACAAACAAAGUGAGUGGAAGUGACGGAAUUCCAGCUAAGCUAUUGCAAAUCCUAAAAGAUGAUGCUGUUUAAGUGCUGCAUUCAAUAUGCCAGCAAAUUUGGANNNNNNNNNNNNNNUUAAAGAAGCCAGACCCUCUCCAAGAAAAGAGCUGUGUAUUUUAUAGCCCCGUUUAUAUGACACUCAAAAAAACACAAAAUUCUGGAAGGAGAAUUCUGGAAGGAGUAGGGGACCACACAAAGUUUCAGGAUGAUGGAACCGUUCAUUAUGACACUAGGGUGGUGGACACAUGAUCCCAUGCAUUUGUCAGAAUGCAUACAACUGCACCAGGCUUCCCUGGUGGUUCAGAUGGUAAAGAAUCUGCCUCCAAUGCAGGAGACCCAGGUUCAGUCCCUGGGUUGAAAAGAUCCCCUGGAGAAGGGAAUGGCAACCCACACCAGAAUUCUGACCUGGAGAAGUCCAUGGACAGAGGAGCCUGGCAGGCUAUAGUCCAUGGCGUCACAGAGUUGGACAUAACUCAACUGAGUGACUUUCAAAUACAUACACACAACUACACCACAAAGAGUGAAAUAAACUCUUAUGCAAUAUUUUCAAAAAAUCGACCAGCAUAUCAGUGGAUCUCAGGAUGACUUGAAGACUCUAGGAAAGCAGUCAGUGGGUGACACCACCUCGCUGCAGUGGGUAGGGGAAAGGAGCUGACCUAAGUAACUUUGGAGCCUAGUAUUCCACCUGACACUAUAAGCUAAUGGCGAGAUUUUUUUUUAAGUACAUAAACACUAAACACUGUAUUNNNNNNNNNNNNNNNNNNNNNNNNNNNNNNNNNNNNNNNNNNNNNNNNNNNNNNNNNNNNNNNNNNNNNNNNNNNNNNNNNNNNNNNNNNNNNNNNNNNCACUAAACACUGUAUUGUAACUGGUAAAUCUGUUGCUCUCAGGAGAACCAGUUGGCAAUUCUGCAACUAUCCAUAAACUAGGACUGGACAGAUUCAUAAAUAAACUGUGAAGAACAGAAGCCAGGAUUUUCACUAAAAAAAAGAAACUAGGAAGAAGGAAAGGGAAAAGAAUAAAACGAACCUUGUAUUUCUGGAUUAUAGAUGUACAUAAACGGGCAAAUAGCUAUAAAAACAAAUAUAGACGUGUGUAGAUUCUGUGAUAUCAGUAUGAACUCAUGUUUAAGAUGGAGAAAGAAA